rnacentral:lncRNA from 1 species
CCUACGUGGGGGAGAGCACUAAGCACAUUGGUGAGGCCGGAACAAAGUAGCAAGAGUGAGUCACAAAUGAUACAGUUGAAGCUAGUCCACCAAGGUUCAUGAAGUUACCCAGCCAUCAUGCAAGAGGGUCCAAUCUAGACCCCAAGGAGAGGAACUGAGGCCCCCAGCCAAUAGCCAGCAUCCACUGCCAGACAUGGGAGUGAAGGAUCAAAUGCAGGACCGGUCAGUAAGCAGCUGAGGGAUCUCUGUCCAUGGCCCCGUAGUUGGCCCUGUGCUGCUAUGAGGAUGAAGGAGGCAGGGGCCCUGAAGCCCCUAGGAAUUUUAUUUGCUGUUUGGAGGCAUCAAGUUCUUAAUAAAAGUAGCAUCAACGCAGAAGACCUGGGUUCAUGUCACAGCUGAGCUCCUGCUCGCUGAGUCACCUGGGGUAGCCCACGGAGCCCUCUAAGCCUCAAUUUCUUCAGCUGCAAGUGGUCCUGAUGGCUGGUUUUGGAUCAAACAAUGCAGUGCAUGUGAAAAAGAGAUGAUAGGCUUUAAAAAGAGUUCUUCCUUCCACAGUUACCCAGCCAUCAUGCAAGAGGGUCCAAUCUAGACCCCAAGGAGAGGAACUGAGGCCCCCAGCCAAUAGCCAGCAUCCACUGCCAGACAUGGGAGUGAAGGAUCAUGCAAACAAUUCCAGUUCCCAGCUUUCAAGCCUUCCAGGUGUGACCCCAGACAUCGUGGAGCAGAGACAAGCCAUCCCCACUUUGCUCUGUCCAAAUUCCUGACCCACAGAACCCAGGAACAUAACAAAGGGGGUCUCAUUCCCCUAAGUCUUGGGGUAAUUUCUUAGGCAACAUUAGAUAACCAGAAUAUAGAGUAACUUCAGGACAAGCAAGAAUGAGCAGCAUAUAAAUUGAAGCAGAAGUGCCCGAAAGGACUUGAGAAUUAGUCAGAACGGAAUGGCAUUAAAUGUGGAAAGCAUUACUGACCCUCGCCAUGUGGUUUCUAACCCUGUCCUAUCGUGACAUUGCUCCCUGAAAGGCCAUCAACCACCUCCCAACUGAUGAAAAAUAAACUUCAACCUUUUCUCCAUACUUAUUCCCCUUCAACUUUUUCUUCCCUUGACUUCCAGUCAAAAUGUAAGGUCAAUUACCACACAAACACGCUUCUCUACUGGUCUCUGCAUUGCUUUAUUCAUUAGUUGCUCCUCUUCCACCCACCUUGCCACUAAGGGGUAUCCAACUUACUCUCCAAAGGCUUGCUCCCCUCUUUCCAUCCACG